GUUACUGAUUAUGUCUUGUAUUUUAUUCAGGUGCUUUCAUCCCACGGUGCAAUGAGGAAGGUUAUUACAAAGCCACUCAGUGCCACGGCAGCACAGGGCAGUGCUGGUGUGUUGAUAAGUAUGGCAAUGAGAUAGCUGGCUCGAGAAAGCAGGGGACGGUUAGUUGUGAAGAGGAGCAAGAAACCUCAGGGGAUUUUGGCAGUGGUGGAUCUGUUGUGCUGCUGGAUGAUUUGGAAGAGGAACCUGAAGCAACAAAAAAAGACAAAGAAGGGAAACUGAAGAUUCAUGUAAGAGCAGCUAAUGAAGAUGAUGAAGAUGAAGAUGACGAUAAGGAUGAUGAAAUUGGUUAUAUAUGGUAGUGCCCGUUGUUCCGAGGACUCACGUUUUGCACAAUAUUGCAAGUCAUAUCAUAUCUGUGCAAUUGUAUCUGAGAGUACCUGGCACAAAUAUUCCCUCUUUACUGAGUUUAAUUUUGUAUAGUCUAUUUAAUUUAGAAGACUGCUUGCUUUUUUUUUUUUCCCCAGCAAUGACUGUUUGGAAUCCAGCUUUUAUUCUGUUGGUUUGGGAGAUUUUUGUUCCAUCCACAGGGGGCAAUGAAUUUUGUUCCAAAACCAUUUCAUGUCUUAAUCCUCAGUUGCACAGCUUAUGACACACAUCUCGUGAAAGAAGAAUCACAGAAGGGCUCAGCAAACUGGUACAAGGCUUAGAAACCCAUCAGAUGUUAUCACAGUCAAUUUGUAUCAUAAAUUGCUAUCUGGAUCAUAUCGCAAACGAUCCUUUUUCUUUCACAGGAAAGGAAGAGGAGGCGUCUCCUUUUCUACUCAGUAUUUAUUGCACUCCAGUUGAUUAAAUACCUUGGGUAGUGAUUUCUUGCUCCCUAGAACCAGUUGUUUAAUCCUGAAAGAAACCCAUGGGUGGGAUUUUAUUUUCCUUACAUUCUUUGAGAAUGUGUCUGAGAGGUUUAGUCCAACCUCACUGAAGAACAAACUCCCACCAGAGCACAGAUCAGCUCUCUAC